UCGAGGGGCAGCACGGGAGUAGCAAUACAACUGGUGGCGACCGGCGCACGGGUGAGUAACGCGUAUGCAACCUACCUAUCAGAGGGGAAUAACCCGGCGAAAGUCGGACUAAUACCGCAUAAAACAGGGGCACCGCAUGGUGAUAUUUGUUAAAGAAAUUCGCUGAUAGAUGGGCAUGCGUUCCAUUAGGUAGUUGGUGAGGUAACGGCUCACCAAGCCGACGAUGGAUAGGGGAACUGAGAGGUUGGUCCCCCACACUGGUACUGAGACACGGACCAGACUCCUACGGGAGGCAGCAGUGAGGAAUAUUGGUCAAUGGGCGGGAGCCUGAACCAGCCAAGUCGCGUGAAGGAAGAAGGAUCUAUGGUUCGUAAACUUCUUUUGCAGGGGAAUAAAGUGCAGGACGUGUCCUGUUUUGUAUGUACCCUGAGAAUAAGGAUCGGCUAACUCCGUGCCAGCAGCCGCGGUAAUACGGAGGAUCCGAGCGUUAUCCGGAUUUAUUGGGUUUAAAGGGUGCGUAGGUGGUUUGAUAAGUCAGCGGUGAAAGUUUGCAGCUUAACUGUAAAAAUGCCGUUGAAACUGUCGGACUUGAGUGUAAAUGAGGUAGGCGGAAUGCGUGGUGUAGCGGUGAAAUGCAUAGAUAUCACGCAGAACUCCGAUUGCGAAGGCAGCUUACUAAGCUACAACUGACACUGAAGCACGAAAGCGUGGGGAUCAAACAGGAUUAGAUACCCUGGUAGUCCACGCAGUAAACGAUGAUUACUAGCUGUUUGCGAUACACAGUAAGCGGCACAGCGAAAGCGUUAAGUAAUCCAC
rnacentral:rRNA from 1 species